rnacentral:rRNA from 1 species
CGGGGGAGCACCACAACGGGUGGGAGCUAGCGGUUUAAAUGGGAUUCAACGCCGGAAAUCUUACCGGGACCGACAGCGAUAUGAAGGCCAGGCUGAAGACUUUGCCGGAUUAGCUGAGAGGUGGUGCAUGGCCGUCGUCAGUUCGUACUGUGAAGCAUCCUGUUAAGUCAGGCAACGAGCGAGACCCACGCCCACAGUUGCCAGCGUACUCUCCGGAGUGAUGGGUACACUGUGGGGACCGCCGCUGCUAAAGCGGAGGAAGGAAUGGGCAACGGUAGGUCAGUAUGCCCCGAAUAUCCCGGGCUACACGCGAGCUACAAUGGUUGGUACAAUGGGUAUCUACCCCGAGAGGGGAUGGCAAUCUCCUAAAACCAAUCUUAGUUCGGAUUGAGGGCUGCAACUCGCCCUCAUGAAGCUGGAAUCCGUAGUAAUCGCGUUUCAACAGAACGCGGUGAAUACGUCCCUGCUCCUUGCACACACCGCCCGUCAAACCACCCGAGUAGGGUCUGAAUGAGAGCGCUUACCAAUCGGAGGCGUUCGAAUUUGGGCUUUGCAAGGGGGGUUAAGUCGUAACAAGGUAACCAAGGGCGAAU